rnacentral:rRNA from 1 species
GAUGAACGCUGGCGGCGUGCCUAAUACAUGCAAGUCGAGCGAACAGACGAGGAGCUUGCUCCUCUGACGUUAGCGGCGGACGGGUGAGUAACACGUGGAUAACCUACCUAUAAGACUGGGAUAACUUCGGGAAACCGUAGCUAAUACCGGAUAAUAUAUUGAACCGCAUGGUUCAAUAGUGAAAGACGGCUUUGCUGUCUCUUAUAGAUGGAUCCGCGCCGCAUUAGCUAGUUGGUAAGGUAACGGCUUACCAAGGCAACGAUGCGUAGCCGACCUGAGAGGGUGAUCGGCCACACUGGAACUGAGACACGGUCCAGACUCCUACGGGAGGCAGCAGUAGGGAAUCUUCCGCAAUGGGCGAAAGCUUGACGGAGCAACGCCGCGUGAGUGAUGAAGGUCUUCGGAUCGUAAAACUCUGUUAUUAGGGAAGAACAAAUGUGUAAGUAACUAUGCACGUCUUGACGGUACCUAAUCAGAAAGCCACGGCUAACUACGUG